GACGAACGCUGGCGGCGUGCCUAAUACAUGCAAGUCGUGCGGACCUUGUUGAAAGCUUGCUUUUAAAAGGUUAGCGGCGGACGGGUGAGUAACACGUGGGCAACCUGCCUGUAAGACUGGGAUAACGCCGGGAAACCGGGGCUAAUACCAGAUCGUUUUUUCCUCCGCAUGGAGGAAAAAGGAAAGGCGGCUUCGGCUGCCACUUACAGAUGGGCCCGCGGCGCAUUAGCUAGUUGGCGGGGUAAUGGCCCACCAAGGCAACGAUGCGCAGCCGACCUGAGAGGGUGAUCGGGCACAUUGGGACUGAGACACGGCCCAAACUCCUACGGGAGGCAGCAGUAGGGAAUCUUCCGCAAUGGACGAAAGUCUGACGGAGCAACGCCGCGUGAGGGAAGAAGGCCUUCGGGUCGUAAAACUCUGUUGCCGGGGAAGAACAAGUGCCGUUCGAACAGGGCGGCGCCUUGACGGUACCCGGCCAGAAAGCCACGGCUAACUACGUG
rnacentral:rRNA from 1 species